rnacentral:rRNA from 1 species
UACGUAGGGUGCAAGCGUUAAUCGGAAUUACUGGGCGUAAAGCGUGCGCAGACGGUUGCGUAAGUCAGAUGUGAAAUCCCCGGGCUCAACCUGGGAACUGCAUUUGUGACUGCAUGGCUGGAGUGCGGCAGAGGGGGAUGGAAUUCCGCGUGUAGCAGUGAAAUGCGUAGAUAUGCGGAGGAACACCGAUGGCGAAGGCAAUCCCCUGGGCCUGCACUGACGCUCAUGCACGAAAGCGUGGGGAGCAAACAGG